UUCCCUGGUUUCCUCUAUGUCAUAUCUCCAUCAUGCAUUUAUAAUCUCAAGAUCCUGCAGCAGUGUUUCCCUGGGUUCCUGUGGUGGGGGUGGGGGCUGUCCUGACUGCUGGAGCUCUUCUAGUCACCAUCUACUGCACACUGAAGAGGAGAUCCACAGGAGGAAGUGGUGCCACAGCAGACACACAGAGUGUCCAUUCUGACCCUAACUGGGACAUGUACACAGGUCUGAACAUAAGGACCAUGUCCCCUGACUACGACACUCUGGCAAGUGUCCAUCCUGACCCUAACAGUGACAUGUGCACAUCUCUGAAGAAGAAUACCAGGUCACCAGAUUGACAUCCUGGCAGUAGAAUGUGAGAGACUCACCCAGUGACACAUCCCCUCAGAUAGUGAACCACCACAGAACCUGGACUGAAGAGAACCACCACAGAACCUGGACUGAAGAGAACCACCACAGAACCUGGACUGAAGACAACCACCACAGAACCUAGACUGAAGAGAACCACUACAGAACUUGGUCUGAAGAGAAACACCACAGAACCUUGCAUUAAAAUAAUCUAUGCAGAACCUGGACCUAGGUUUUCCAGACAAUGAACUUUAACUUAUCCACAAACAUUGAAGUUGAAUGUUAUUUCCUUGUAAUGUUAAUUAUAUAUAUUGAAGAUAAAUAGGAUGGAUUAUACUUCUACUCGUUUACAAUGGGACAUUUCCCCAUUGUAAAAUGUGUAUAAUAUUGAAAACAACUUUUAAUAUGUUUUGUUUUCGGACCGAGUUGCUCCUGAUGUGUUAAUUGAGUUACUUUGUAUUGCUGUCAGACAUUAUUGUGCCAUGGUAUUUCGGAAUAUUAAUAUCAUAAUCACACUUGUUACAUGGUGACAUUUUUAUGAUUAUUUCCAAUACAGUGUGAUUCAGUGUAAAUUAUGCAUUUUGUUGUAAAUGAGCUCAA